UAGGAAAUAAAAAGGCAUCUUUUUAUUUUUAAAAAACCUUUUUCGGAAGGUAUGCUUAAAGAGGGGCUUGCGUCACAUUAGUUAGUUGGCAGGGUAAAGGCCUACCAAGACUAUGAUGUGUAGCUGGACUGAGAGGUUGAACAGCCACAUUGGGACUGAGACACGGCCCAAACUCCUACGGGAGGCAGCAGUAGGGAAUUUUCGGCAAUGGAGGAAACUCUGACCGAGCAACGCCGCGUGAACGAUGAAGUAUUUCGGUAUGUAAAGUUCUUUUAUUGAAGAAGAAAAAAUAGUGGAAAAACUAUCUUGACGAUAUUCAAUGAAUAAGCCCCGGCAAACUAUGUGCCAGCAGCCGCGGUAAUACAUAGGGGGCGAGCGUUAUCCGGAAUUAUUGGGCGUAAAGGGUGCGUAGGCGGUUUAAUAAGUCUAUAGUUUAAUUUCAGUGCUUAACACUGUCCUGCUAUAGAAACUAUUAGACUAGAGUGAGAUAGAGGCAAGUGGAAUUCCAUGUGUAGCGGUAAAAUGCGUAAAUAUAUGGAGGAACACCAGAGGCGUAGGCGGCUUGCUGGGUCUUUACUGACGCUGAGGCACGAAAGCGUGGGGAGCAAACAGGAUUAGAUACCCUGGUAGUCCACGCCGUAAACGAUGAGUACUAAGUGUCGGGAUUACUCGGUACUGAAGUUAACACAUUAAGUACUCCGCCUGAGUAGUACGUACGCAAGUAUGAAACUUAAAGGAAUUGACGGGACUCCGCACAAGCGGUGGAUCAUGUUGUUUAAUUCGAAGAUACACGAAAAACCUUACCAGGUCUUGACAUACUCUGCAAAGCUAUAGCAAUAUAGUGGAGGUUAUCAGGGAUACAGGUGGUGCAUGGUUGUCGUCAGCUCGUGUCGUGAGAUGUUAGGUUAAGUCCUAAAACGAGCGCAACCCUUGUCAUUAGUUGCCAGCAUGUCAUGAUGGGCACUUUAAUGAGACUGCCAAUGAAAAAUUGGAGGAAGGUGAGGAUCACGUCAAAUCAUCAUGCCCCUUAUGAUCUGGGCUACAAACGUGAUACAAUGGCUGUUACAAAGAGUAGCUGAAACGCAAGUUUAUAGCCAAUCUCAUAAAAGCAGUCUCAGUUCGGAUUGAAGUCUGCAACUCGACUUCAUGAAGUUGGAAUCGCUAGUAAUCGCGAAUCAGCAUGUCGCGGUGAAAUC
rnacentral:rRNA from 1 species